rnacentral:rRNA from 1 species
GUGGGGAAUCUUCCGCAAUGGACGAAAGUCUGACGGAGCGACGCCGCGUGAGUGAAGAAGGCCUUCGGGUCGUAAAGCUCUGUCAUCAGGGACGAAUGGCCGGUGGAGUGGAAAGCCACCGGAUUGACGGUACCUGAGAAGGAAGCCACGGCUAACUACGUGCCAGCAGCCGCGGUAAUACGUAGGUGGCAAGCGUUGUCCGGAAUUAUUGGUCGUAAAGCGCGCGCAGGUGGGAUCUUAAGUCCAUUUUGAAAGUUCGGAGCUCAACUGCGUGAUGGGAUGGAAGCUGGGAUUCUUGAGUACCGGAGAGGAAAGCGGAAUUCCCCGUGUAGCGGUGAAAUGCGUAGAUAUGGGGAGGAACACCGGUGGCGAAGGCGGCUUUCUGGACGGUGUCUGACACUGAGGCGCGAAAGCCAGGGGAGCGAACGGGAUUAGAUACCCGGGUAGUCC